rnacentral:rRNA from 1 species
GUAACACGUGGGUGAUCUGCCCUGCACUUUGGGAUAAGCCUGGGAAACUGGGUCUAAUACCGAAUACACCUUGCUGGAUGCAUGUCUGGUGGGGGAAAGCUUUUGCGGUGUGGGAUGGGCCCGCGGCCUAUCAGCUUGUUGGUGGGGUGAUGGCCUACCAAGGCGACGACGGGUAGCCGGCCUGAGAGGGUGUCCGGCCACACUGGGACUGAGAUACGGCCCAGACUCCUACGGGAGGCAGCAGUGGGGAAUAUUGCACAAUGGGCGCAAGCCUGAUGCAGCGACGCCGCGUGGGGGAUGACGGCCUUCGGGUUGUAAACCCCUUUCAGUAGGGACGAAGCGCAAGUGACGGUACCUACAGAAGAAGGACCGGCCAACUACGUGCCAGCAGCCGCGGUAAUACGUAGGGUCCGAGCGUUGUCCGGAAUUACUGGGCGUAAAGAGCUCGUAGGUGGUUUGUCGCGUUGUUCGUGAAAACUCACAGCUUAACUGUGGGCGUGCGGGCGAUACGGGCAGACUAGAGUACUGCAGGGGAGACUGGAAUUCCUGGUGUAGCGGUGGAAUGCGCAGAUAUCAGGAGGAACACCGGUGGCGAAGGCGGGUCUCUGGGCAGUAACUGACGCUGAGGAGCGAAAGCGUGGGGAGCGAACAGGAUUAGAUACCCUGGUAGUCCACGCCGUAAACGGUGGGUACUAGGUGUGGGUUUCCUUCCUUGGGAUCCGUGCCGUAGCUAACGCAUUAAGUACCCCGCCUGGGGAGUACGGCCGCAAGGCUAAAACUCAAAGAAAUUGACGGGGGCCCGCACAAGCGGCGGAGCAUGUGGAUUAAUUCGAUGCAACGCGAAGAACCUUACCUGGGUUUGACAUGCACAGGACGCCAGUAGAGAUAUUGGUUCCCUUGUGGCCUGUGUGCAGGUGGUGCAUGGCUGUCGUCAGCUCGUGUCGUGAGAUGUUGGGUUAAGUCCCGCAACGAGCGCAACCCCUAUCUUAUGUUGCCAGCGCGUUAUGGCGGGGACUCGUAAGAGACUGCCGGGGUCAACUCGGAGGAAGGUGGGGAUGACGUCAAGUCAUCAUGCCCCUUAUGUCCAGGGCUUCACACAUGCUACAAUGGCCGGUACAAAGGGCUGCGAAUCCGUGAGGUGGAGCGAAUCCCUUGAAAGCCGGUCUCAGUUCGGAUCGGGGUCUGCAACUCGACCCCGUGAAGUCGGAGUCGCUAGUAAUCGCAGAUCAGCAACGCUGCGGUGAAUACGUUCCCGGGCCUUGUACACACCGCCCGUCACGUCAUGAAAGUCGGUAACACCCGAAGCCGG